GAUGAACGCUGACGGCGUGCCUAAUACAUGCAAGUCGAGCGAACGGACGAGAAGCUUGCUUCUCUGAUGUUAGCGGCGGACGGGUGAGUAACACGUGGAUAACCUACCUAUAAGACUGGGAUAACUUCGGGAAACCGGAGCUAAUACCGGAUAAUAUUUUGAACCGCAUGGUUCAAAAGUGAAAGACGGUCUUGCUGUCACUUAUAGAUGGAUCCGCGCUGCAUUAGCUAGUUGGUAAGGUAACGGCUUACCAAGGCAACGAUGCAUAGCCGACCUGAGAGGGUGAUCGGCCACACUGGAACUGAGACACGGUCCAGACUCCUACGGGAGGCAGCAGUAGGGAAUCUUCCGCAAUGGGCGAAAGCCCGACGGAGCAACGCCGCGUGAGUGAUGAAGGUCUUCGGAUCGUAAAACUCUGUUAUUAGGGAAGAACAUAUGUGUAAGUAACUGUGCACAUCUUGACGGUACCUAAUCAGAAAGCCACGGCUAACUACGUG
rnacentral:rRNA from 1 species